GAUGAACGCUGGCGGCGUGCCUAAUACAUGCAAGUCGAGCGAACGGACGAGAAGCUUGCUUCUCUGAUGUUAGCGGCGGACGGGUGAGUAACACGUGGAUAACCUACCUAUAAGACUGGGAUAACUUCGGGAAACCGGAGCUAAUACCGGAUAAUAUUUUGAACCGCAUGGUUCAAAAGUGAAAGACGGUCUUGCUGUCACUUAUAGAUGGAUCCGCGCUGCAUUAGCUAGUUGGUAAGGUAACGGCUUACCAAGGCAACGAUGCAUAGCCGACCUGAGAGGGUGAUCGGCCACACUGGAACUGAGACACGGUCCAGACUCCUACGGGAGGCAGCAGUAGGGAAUCUUCCGCGAUGGGCGAAAGCCUGACGGAGCAACGCCGCGUGAGUGAUGAAGGUCUUCGGAUCGUAAAACUCUGUUAUUAGGGAAGAACAUAUGUGUAAGUAACUGUGCACAUCUUGACGUUACCUAAUCAGAAAGCCACGGCUAACUACGUG
rnacentral:rRNA from 1 species